CCUGGCCGGCGCCUGCCCCCCGCCGCCCUGCGCCCCCGCUCGACGGCAGCCGAGGUGGAGCGGCACGUGGCGGCCGAGGCAGGGGACCUUGUCCGGCUCUUCCUGCGGCGCAGCCAGGGCGGUGCCUACUUCGAGCCCUCCCCGCUCUUGGUGGUGGCCAACGCCAACGUCCUCUGCGCCCUCUGCUUCGGCCGCCGCUACAGCCAUGCCGAUGGCGAGUUCACGGCGCUGCUGGACCGUAACGACCGCUUCGGGCAGACGGUGGGGGCGGGCAGCAUGGUGGACGUGCUGCCCUGGCUCCUGCACUUCCCCAACCCCGUGCGCCGCGUCUUCCGCGACUUCCAAGCCCUCAACCGCGAGCUGCACAGCUUCGUGUGUGCCAAGGUGGCGCAGCACCGCCAGACCUUCGACCCGCGCGCCCUCCGCGACAUCAGCGAUGUCAUGAUCACCGCUGUGGAGCACAGUGACAGGCCCCCCGAGGGGCUGGGACCCGAGGACGUGGAGGCCGCCAUGACCGACAUCUUUGGGGCAGGGCAGGACACCACCUCCACAGCGCUCUCGUGGGUCCUCCUGCUGCUGCUGAAGCACCCGCGGCUCCAGCAGGACCUCCAGGCCGAGCUGGACCGGGUGGUGGGGCGCUCCCGCUUGCCCACGGCUGAGGACCGGCCCCACCUGCCCCUCCUGGAGGCCUUCAUCUAUGAGACGCUACGCUACAGCAGCUUCGUGCCCAUCACCAUCCCACACGCUACCACAGACGACGUGGAGCUCGAGGGCUUCCACAUCCCCAAGGGCACCGUGGUCUUCAUCAACCAGUGGUCGGUCAACCACGACUGCGGCAAGUGGCCCGACCCACAACGCUUCGACCCCGCACGCUUCUUGGAUGCGCAGCAGCGCCUGGACCGCGACCGGGCUGGCAGCGUCAUGAUCUUCUCAGCCGGCCAGCGGCGCUGCAUCGGCGACCAGCUCUCCAAGCUCCAGCUCUUCCUCUUCACCGCCAUCCUCCUCCACCAGUGCUCCUUCCACGCCAACCCAGCGGAGUACCUCACCAUGGACUGCAUCCACGGGCUGGCGCUGAAGCCGCGGCCCUUCACCGUCACCGUGCGUCAGAGGCAGCCCGCACUCAUCCAGCCCUGA